GCAGAAUUGAUCUGAGUUGUUAAUUUAUAGAGCAAUUCUACGGUUCUUGAGGAGGUACCAUGAGGUAAUUAAAAAAAUAGUGUAAAAUCUGGUACCUCAUAGUACCUAAGUAACAAGAGGUACCAAAUUUACAGUGGAAAAAGUGGUACCUCAUGGUACCUUCUUCCUUAAGGACCUAAAAUUGCUAUAAUUUAUAAGGUCAUAUCAGUG
rnacentral:misc_RNA from 1 species